rnacentral:tRNA from 1 species
GCCAGGAUGGUGAAAUGGCAGACGCAGCGGACUUAAAAUCCGCGGCUCGGUAAACGAGCGUGCGGGUUCGAGUCCCGCUCCUGGCACCA